CGAGGGGCGAGCAGGGAGAAAGAGGCCAGGCCGCCCUCUCGGACUAGGGCGCCUCUCUCCCUUAGCACCCCAACUCCGACUUCUCCCAAACAGGGCGGCCUCUGCGAUCCGGCCGGGUCGCCGGCCGAGCUCCGGAAUAAAUGGACAACUUCAGGAAACUUCCUCCCGUGGCCACGUUGCCCGCCCCCUCCCCGCCCCCUGGUUGGGUUCUCCCGGCCGACGCAGUCACCGCCGUUCCAGGCGCCGGGCCCCCGGGACCCGGCCAGAGCCGAGCGCAGUGGCAGACGCGGGUGCGGGGGUUCUUUUAGGGGCGCCGGUUUCGGGGGACGCGGCUCUCCAAGGUCUGGAAAUGCUCAGGGCGGAGGGGGAGACAUCGGGAGGCCUGGGACCUGCAGAAGCCUGAGAAAGUGAAGUUGGUGCCAAGGAGCGUGCGUUCUUUGUUUCUUCUUUUUUCCUUCGGAGCCCAGCUUGUAAAGAGUAGAAGAACCGGACAUUGGUGGAGGAAUUCAAACAAGAGAGCCCGGAGGCGUCCUCUGCUGUGGCCCAGAGCUAGCGCCUACUCCACGAAGCUCAGCUGGGGUUAACAGGCUUCUGUUAAAAUUUCCCGGGCACUGGGAAAAUUUCAGGUGCCUUCGCCUCGGUGGACUCCUUUCCCUGCUAACAAAAUUAUUAAAAAUAAGAUUUUGCAACUGCGUUGGCAUAAGGAAAAGUAUAUUAAUAUUGCAUAUUAAAACAUGUUCUUCAGCCUAAAGCUUUACUUAUUUUUUUCUGAUUUUAAAAGAAAUCAAAACAUUUUCAUGGGCCCCAAAAGACUAUGGUCCCUGGCACUGGGCCUGCGGUGCUUAAUGCAGAAGUCUACCCUGCGUGUCUGAUAUUUCUUCUGGGAAAUAAAGAGCUAGUGAGACCCUCCAU
rnacentral:lncRNA from 1 species